rnacentral:rRNA from 1 species
GUGUGAAUUGCAGAAUCCCGUGAACCAUCGAGUCUUUGAACGCAAGUUGCGCUUGAAUCCAUUAGGUUGAAGGCAUGUCUGUCUGGGCGUCUCAC